UCGGGAAUUUUGGGCAAUGGGCGAAAGCCUGACCCAGCAACGCCGCGUGAAGGAUGAAGUAUUUCGGUAUGUAAACUUCGAAAGAAUAGGAAGAAUAAAUGACGGUACUAUUUAUAAGGUCCGGCUAACUACGUGCCAGCAGCCGCGGUAAUACGUAGGGACCAAGCGUUGUUCGGAUUUACUGGGCGUAAAGGGCGCGUAGGCGGCAAUUCAAGUCAUCUGUGAAAUCUCCGGGCUUAACUCGGAACGGUCAGAUGAUACUGCUUUGCUAGAGUGCAGAAGGGGCAAUCGGAAUUCUUGGUGUAGCGGUGAAAUGCGUAGAUAUCAAGAGGAACACCUGAGGCGAAGGCGAGUUGCUAGGCUGACACUGACGCUGAGGUACGAAAGCUAGGGGAGCGAACGGGAUUAGAUACCCCUGUAGUCCCUGAGCGGGCUGGCAAGGCGCAU
rnacentral:rRNA from 1 species